CCCUUAGACGUUCUGGGCCGCACGCGCGCUACACUGACCAGUGCAACAAGCAUCCGUCCUUGGCCGACAGGCCCGGGCAAUCUUUGAACGCUGUUCGUGAUUGGGAUAGACCUUUGCAAUUAUGGGUCUUCAACGAGGAAUUCCUAGUAAACGCAAGUCAUCAGCUUGCAUUGAUUACGUCCCUGCCCUUUGUACACACCGCCCGUCGCACCUACCGAUUGAAUGGUCCGGUGAAAUCUCGGGACGGCGGCUUGGUCGCUUGCGUCCGACUGCUGAAACUUGAUUAAACCAUAUCAUUUAGAGGAAGGUGAAGUCGUAACA
rnacentral:rRNA from 1 species